UACAGAGGGUGCGAGCGUUAAUCGGAAUUACUGGGCGUAAAGCGUGCGUAGGCGGUUUGUUAAGUCUGUCGUGAAAGCCCCGGGCUCAACCUGGGAACUGCAAUGGAAACUGGCGGGCUUGAGUGUGGCAGAGGGGGGUGGAAUUCCGCGUGUAGCAGUGAAAUGCGUAGAGAUGCGGAGGAACACCGAUGGCGAAGGCAGCCCCCUGGGCCAACACUGACGCUCAGGCACGAAAGCGUGGGGAGCAAACAGG
rnacentral:rRNA from 1 species